CCGCUUUUGAACUCCGCCAUGGUCCCGUGCCUCUUUCUUUCUUUUCCCCGGCUCGUGGUGAAAGAGGAAGAGGAAGAAGAGGCGGAAACCUCGCGUCUUAAGAGAUCUCAGAUCGGAAAGAAUGGGGCUCACGUUCGCUAAGCUCUUCAGCCGCCUCUUUGCUAAGAAGGAGAUGCGGAUCCUCAUGGUUGGGCUUGAUGCGGCCGGUAAGACGACCAUCCUGUACAAGCUGAAGCUCGGGGAGAUCGUCACCACCAUACCCACCAUCGGAUUUAAUGUGGAGACUGUAGAGUAUAAAAAUAUUAGCUUCACUGUCUGGGAUGUUGGUGGUCAGGAUAAGAUUAGACCUUUAUGGAGGCAUUAUUUCCAGAACACACAGGGCCUUAUUUUUGUUGUCGACAGCAAUGACAGAGAUCGUGUAAUUGAGGCAAGGGAUGAACUUCACAGGAUGCUUAAUGAGGAUGAAUUGCGUGAUGCAGUCUUGCUUGUUUUUGCUAACAAACAAGACCUGCCAAAUGCUAUGAAUGCUGCUGAAAUUACUGAUAAGCUUGGUCUGCAUUCCCUGCGUCAACGCCAUUGGUACAUACAAAGCACCUGUGCUACCUCUGGUGAGGGUUUAUAUGAAGGGCUUGAUUGGCUAUCUAACAACAUAGCUAAUAAGGCUUAAAUUAUGACUUAUGAAAGAUGAAGUAACAGGAACUCCCAUAUCUACGAAGCAGUCGUGUUCCCUUCUCUCCUGGACGCUUUUGGUACUCUUUUGACCCAUAAAACUUUUAUCUCGACUUGUGCGAAUGAUUUCAGAGACCAACAAAGAGAGGAGAUAGCUUGUGAUUAUCCACAACGAAGAGAAUCUUAGAUGAAAACAAGUUCAGCAACACAGUCAACGCUCAUCUGGGGGAAUAUUAAAUCUUCUAUCAGAUCUGGCUUUGUUUUCAACGCUCAUCAGACUUAGCUUUUUGGUUACCAGCAUUAUAAAGAUAUCUAGGUAGAUACAGUGCUGAGGAAUCCAAGGGUUAUCAUCCAUCUUCUUAUACUAUACUGUAUACACUCUUACACGUGUUUUGCUCUCUUGAAAACCUCUAGUUUUUCUAUUCCAAGCACUAAGCAACAUGAGGUUUUGGGGCAUUGAGCCAAGAAAUAACAAUAUGGAAGUAUUCAUGCA